rnacentral:rRNA from 1 species
UACGAAGGUGGCAAGCGUUGUUCGGAAUUACUGGGCGUAAAGGGCGCGUAGGCGGCCUUCUAAGUCGAACGUGAAAUCCCCGGGCUCAACCCGGGAACUGCGUCCGAUACUGGAAGGCUUGAAUCCGGGAGAGGGAUGCGGAAUUCCGAGGUGUAGCGGUGAAAUGCGUAGAUAUCUGGAGGAACACCGGUGGCGAAGGCGG